CAUUGCUGGUGUUUACGUUAGCACCUUGCCCCUGCAUUCCGUUUGUAGAUACCUCGAUGACCUCAAUGAAGGAGUUUAUAUCCAACAUACCUUGGAGACCGUGCUGCUCAAUGAAGAUGGAAAACAGCUGCUGUGUGAAGCCCUAUACUUAUAUGGAGUUAUGCUUCUUGUCAUUGACCAGAAGAUUGAAGGAGAAGUCAGAGAGAGAAUGCUGGUUUCUUACUAUCGAUACAGGUAUUCCUGGCCUAACCCGAGUACCCCCCAGUGCUGCUGCUGACCCCCUGUACUGUGUGCUCCUGCCCUGGUGGGAGCGGUGGCCUGUGGUGACAGAUGAUGAAGUGCACACAUUUCUGAACACACUGAAGGAAUAUGGCUUUACCUUCAUGUAUUAUGAUUAACAGACUACAUCCCGGAAAAACUAUGUAAAAUGUAAAAUGCUGUAUGCAAGACAUAGCAAUAUACAGAGAUGAAGAUAAUGAUGCAGUUGUCAUAAAGCAGGAAUCGGAAUUCUGAAUGUUUUCACUUGAGGAUAAAUUGUAAGGAAUUUUGAAAUUC